rnacentral:lncRNA from 1 species
UCAAACAAUUAAUCACAAGUAACUAUCUAAAUUGGUGACAUUUGGCAACAGUGAGUAGAUCUGGUUUAUUUAUGUAUGUUUAUUCCAAACAUAACCUUAUAAACAAACAGUUGUUUAUUUAGAGUUAUUUAUUGUUUUCUCAUAUUUUGCAAUUGUUAAGUUGGUUUACUUCGAAUUUAAUGUGCAUUACUGUGGUAUUUCUCCAGUUUUCUAAGAAGGUUGGUGAUUUUGAAUUGGGAUUAUGAUGAAUUUAACCCAAAGGCAAUGUGUGUGUUUAUUUAUGUGGCAAAAUUCCAGGCACCAUAAAAAUUUGAGUUUCUUCCUGUUGCCCAUGGAUGAAAAUCGGUUUGCAGAAUGAAAAGAAAUUGUUCAAUGUGAUAAACUUUCUAUGAACAGUCCUCAGUGUUGUUACAUUAACUUUUAAAUAUGCAUCUUGAGGAGCAGGCCUUUGCAGAAAUACUGAAAAGCGGGUUGCAAAACAACGCAAAAUAAAAUAAACGAAAUAUGUCUUGAGAUUAAACAUUCAAGUUGAAGGUGUGUUCUUUCUUAAACUGGAAUGAUAAUUUUGUAAUUCUGUAGGCACAUCUAUUGAGAAGUUACAACCAGUGGCAAAGUGCCUUAAGGGACACCUCCUCUGAAGGAAUUACAAUUAUUUGCCAGUAUGUCAAAUGAAUUUUCAACAUCAGUCAUACUUUCAUGAAUUUAUUGAUGAAAAUAAAACUAGGUACAUGAUUUAUUAUUUACUUCCAAGGGAUUCUAAGAUACUAUGUGUAAAAAGUCCAAUAUGCAGUGAUGAGCAUGCUAAUAACUGGCAAAAUAUGGGAUAUAACGCCAAAGAUGGGAAACAUGGGAUGCAUUCUGAAGUAAAAAGAGAUGAAACUGAGAGAAAUUAUUGAUAUAAACAUAUAAAUUAACAUUGCAUUACAUAGUUUCCCACCUUUAGACGUAUCAGAUGAGUAUGAGAACUGUCACUGUGCCAGGAGAAUUUUAUAAAAUACUCCUGUCACAGAGAUCUAAAGGUGGGAAACUAUGUAAUGUUAUCGUCGGCUAAGAGUGUUAACCUGCUAACUCUAUUUUUCACUGUGAGUGAUAUUGGGGUAGUUUCUAGGUCUGUGUACCUUCAUACCAUGUCCCACAAGCCCGCUGGUUCCACUGUAGUUUAGAGAUAGCUAUUUCUAAACUACAUUGGUGUCGGCGGGUUUGUGUGGUGGUGUAUGAAAAUACACGGACCCAGAAACUAGCCCAAUAUCACUCAAAGUGAAAAUGGAGGUUAAAACUCUUAUCCAAGGUUAUGUUAAUUUAUUCGUUUAUAACGAUAAGUUCCACUUCUACCAGUUUCAUCUCUUUUUAUCUCACAAGUUAAUAUGUUUUCCAUCUUUUGCGUUAUUUUGCCGGUUAUUAGUGUGAGUGCUCAUUACUGUAUAUUUACGAUUCUGUGAUUUCUCAAUAUGAUGCUGAGUAGGUAUAGAUCUGAGUAGGUAUAUAGUAGGUAUCUACAACCCUUUCAAAACAGAAAUUUAUAAGUUCAUUUUAUGUACCUAUUAAACUUUAUUUUAAGGAUGAAUUUGAAAUGCUUGUAGGGAAUAUAUCUGUAAAAAAUAAAAUUGGUAUUGUAAAAUUGAAAUUCUCAAAAUAUAAUUUAUAAUUCGAA